AGGGAAAACAGCGUGGCAUUUCUGCUAUCACCACUGCCACCAUGCCAGGAUCUUCAUCAAGGAGCAGAGACACUGUGAGACAUGAGACUACAUGGAGUGAUGGGAAAACAAAUCCAGCAUGAAAGGGUGAAGGAAAUGAACGAAAAGAAAAUGGGAACUAAAUGAGAUGACAGAAAACAAUGGGAAAGAAGGCAGGCAAUAGGAUGCAGAAACAACACCAGCCAGAUUCGAACCCGCAUUUCCCAUUUAAGCACCACAAUUCAAUGGUCCAAUGUGUUUGGAGCACCUCAAAGCCAUGACUAUAACAUCUAUUUUUAAGAGCAUUCUUCUACUCAGCGUUCUUUCCGUUGGUCUGGCACAAAGGCGGGACAAGUAAGUGCACCCUCAUGUGGACAGAUCAAAGGCAGGGGCCUUCAGUCUUAAACCACAUGGACACGGCGCAGAGAACCCUCAAAGCCAGAUCUGAUCCACUGCUUUCUAAACUCUCCACUACAACAAGAGGAAGUGUGAGAGAUCACUCAUCCCGAAGAUUGAUCGCAGGGAACACAGCUCUUGACGUGAUUAGAAACACAUGGAAGUUGAAGAGAGAUCUAGGGUGAGAUUUGCUUUGAGCAUCUGGAGUGAGUAAUGGUGGAGGAAGCCAAUCAAUACCUCUUUGCCUGAUGAUGGCCAUUCAGGGUGUAAUUGCGCAGGGUGCCUUUUCCUCCAACGGAACAAAACUG